CCAGACUCCUACGGGAGGCAGCAGUGGGGAAUAUUGGGCAAUGGGCGCAAGCCUGACCCAGCAACGCCGCGUGAAGGAAGAAGGCUUUCGGGUUGUAAACUUCUUUUAAGGGGGAAGAGUAGAAGACGGUACCUCUUGAAUAAGCCACGGCUAACUACGUGCCAGCAGCCGCGGUAAUACGUAGGCGGCAAGCGUUGUCCGGAUUUACUGGGCGUAAAGGGCGCGUAGGUGGGCGCUUAAGUCAGGUGUGAAAACUCCGGGCUCAACCUGGAGACUGCACUUGAAACUGGGUGUCUUGAGGGCAGGAGAGGAAAGUGGAAUUCCUAGUGUAGCGGUGAAAUGCGUAGAUAUUAGGAGGAACACCAGUUGCGAAGGCGGCUCUCUGGACUGUAACUGACACUGAGGCACGAAAGCGUGGGGAGCAAACAGGAUUAGAUACCCGUGUAC
rnacentral:rRNA from 1 species